GCUUAUACUCGACCGUCAGUGGCACGUGCGAUCGUAAAUUAUAACGGUCACUAAGCCCUGACGAGUAGGAGGGUCGCGGCGGUGAGCGCAGAAGGGCUGGCCGCGAGGCCGUCUGGAGCCGCCGUCGGUGCAGAUCUUGGUGGUAGUAGCAAAUACUCCAGCGAGGCCCUGGAGGACUGACGUGGAGAAGGGUUUCGUGUGAACAGCCGUUGCACACGAGUCAGUCGAUCCUAAGCCCUAGGCGAAAGCCGAUGUCGAUGCGGUGUAGAUUUACGGCAAAACGCAGUAGAUUGUUGGCACACACCCGUCGGGCGAAAGGGAAUCCGGUUCCUAUUCCGGAACCUGGCAGCGGAACCGUCACAAAGUCGGGC
rnacentral:rRNA from 1 species